rnacentral:rRNA from 1 species
UGGGGAAUAUUGCACAAUGGGCGUAAGCCUGAUGCAGCGACGCCGCGUGGGGGAUGACGGCCUUCGGGUUGUAAACUCCUUUCGCUAGGGACGAAGCUUUUUGUGACGGUACCUAGAUAAGAAGCACCGGCUAACUACGUGCCAGCAGCCGCGGUAAUACGUAGGGUGCGAGCGUUGUCCGGAAUUACUGGGCGUAAAGGGCUCGUAGGUGGUUUGUCGCGUCGUCUGUGAAAUUCCGGGGCUUAACUCCGGGCGUGCAGGCGAUACGGGCAUAACUUGAGUACUGUAGGGGUAACUGGAAUUCCUGGUGUAGCGGUGAAAUGCGCAGAUAUCAGGAGGAACACCGAUGGCGAAGGCAGGUUACUGGGCAGUUACUGACGCUGAGGAGCGAAAGCAUGGGUAGCGAACAGG